GCCUUUUCAUUGACUCAUAGUAAACUUAUACAUGCAAGCAUCCCCGCCCCGGUGAGAAUGCCCUCUAUAUCUGACCCAGAUCAAAAGGGGCAGGCAUCAAGUACACCACAAACUUACACGUAGCUCACGACGCCUUGCUCAACCACACCCCCACGGGACACAGCAGUAAUUAAAAUUAAGCCAAUAAACGAAAGUUUGACUAAGUUAUACUAUAUUAGGGUUGGUAAAUUUCGUGCCAGCCACCGCGGUCAUACGAUUAACCCUAGCCAAUGAAGCACGGUGUAAAGCGUGAUUAAGUUAGAUGAUCUAAUAAGACUAAGCUUGGACUAAGCUGUAAAAAGCCCCGGUCGCAAUAAAAACAACACACGAAAGUAGUCUUAACUAGUCUGAACUCACGAUAGCUAAGACCCAAACUGGGAUUAGAUACCCCACUAUGCUUAGCCCUAAACAUAAAUGUUCAACAAACAAGAACAUUCACCAGAGUACUACUAGCAAUAGCCUAAAACUCAAAGGACUUGGCGGUGCCUUACACCCCUCUAGAGGAGCCUGUUCUAUAAUCGAUAAACCCCGAUCUACCUCACCACCCUUAGCACAUGUCAGCCUAUAUACCGCCAUCUUCAGCAAACCCUAACAAGGCCUUGUAGUAAGCACAACUAUUGCACAUAAAAACGUUAGGUCAAGGUGUAGCCUAUGGGGUGGAAAGCAAUGGGCUACAUUUUCUAAUAACAGAACAAACUUUAAACGAUAGCUUCUGUGAAACCCAGAAACCCAAGGAGGAUUUAGUAGUAAAUCGAGAGCAGAGAGCUCGACUGAAUCGGGCAACAAGGC
rnacentral:ncRNA from 1 species